GCUGCAAGUACAAGUGAAAUCCGAAAAUAGGACUAAAAUUAUAAAAUUAACUUGUGGAGUAAAAAAGGAGGUUUCUUCUGGUAGAAAGGAGAUAUCUUUUUGUUAGACUUUGAUUUGCAUCGGAAAUUCAGCAAUCAAAAAACAAGAGAUUCUUUAUAUGAAACAAUUAAUUUUGGAUUUGAAGGAAAGAAGUUGCUGAUUGAAAACAUGAUACAUUCGGUGGUUACACUGUUUCUGAUUCAUCUGUCGAUGAGUUCUAACUUUUCAAGCAGGUUUUGCCUCUAAACCUUUUUUGUUUUUCUAGUAUUUCUUGGUGAGUUGUGGAAGGAGAUAGUGGUGUGACAAGGGGAAAGGAAAGCCAGCUAGUGGCAGAAAGGACCAGGGAGGUGGGACCUUAUUAAAAAAAGGAAUGGGGAGGUGGGACAGUGCUUGAGGGAAAGCCUUGGGCUGUGGACAAAGAGGUUGAUGAUUAAUAGACUCUUAUCAACUUCCUCUAGCUUUUAAGCUUCUCGUUCUCAAGCAAGAACACACACUAUUAAGCACAUCAUUGUGAAUCCUGACCAGAAGAUCCUUAAGCACAUCCUUUUUUGUUUUUGCUAUUUAUUGAUAUGCACAAGGUACCAAAAGAUGGGAAAACUUUUGGAAUACAGAAUAAAAUAAAACUAAGAAUCUUAGAAUCUUAAUGUGUCAUUUUGGAUUAGAAAUAAACUGACUUAGUCGAGAGAAGUUGAGGAUUUAGUUUUUUUUUCUAAAACAGAUAAUAGAAGGGUCCCAACUGAAGAUGACAUACAUGGCAGGGGUGAAGAAGCGAAAUGCCCUGUAUAAAAUUUAGUACAGCAGCUACUGAUAAAAAAGAAAGAAGAAAGGUUUAGUACAGCAGCUUUGUCCAAGAGAAAAACAAGGAAUGAGAUGGAAGAAUAGAGCAAUUUUAGCUUCAUCAGGGAACCAGCAACAAAAUGGGUGCUGGACUAUGUCUGUUAUUGUUAAUAUGGACCAAACUAGUUUCUCCCUUAUCUUUCAGGUCUGAUACAUGCUUCUAAUAUAACAUAGUGCUUGUUUGAAUUUGUGCAUGGAAUGAUAUUCUGUCAACCAUUAGCAUCAAAGGCCUGAUUUUAGUACAUAGUUUUUAGGUCUCUGAUUUGAAUAUGAAAGCAGCUGCGCUGAAGUAGUUUGCAUUUCCUCUUCUUUAAGAAUGUGUAACAAUCUUUUGUUUUUAAUAAAUAUGAAUGUGUAACGUGUUCACAUCACCUGUAGUCCUUAUUAUUGAUUUUUCCUUUUUUCAGAAAUGUCCUUAUUAGAUUUGAUUAUCCUCCUUAUGGUUGGGGAAGUUGAUUUUCUCUGGCUUCUGCUUUGUUAUUUCCUAUGUUGCCUGAUAAUUUAAAACC